rnacentral:rRNA from 1 species
GACGAACGCUGGCGGCGUGCCUAAUACAUGCAAGUCGAACGCAGUGGGGACGGGUGAGUAACACGUGGGUAACCUCCCAUCAGAGGGGAUAACACUUGGAAACAGGUGCUAAACCGCUACUGAUUGAUGGACCCGCGGUGCAUUAGCUAGUUGGUGAGGUAACGGCUCACCAAGGCCACGAUGCAUAGCCGACCUGAGAGGAUGAUCGGCCACACUGGGACGGAGACACGGCCCAGACUCCGACGGGAGGCAGCAGUAGGGAAGCUUCGGCAAUGGAAGAAAGUCUGAGCGAGCAACGCCGCGUGAGUGAAGAAGGUUUGCGGAUCGUAAAACGCUGUUGUUAGAGAGGCGGUAUCUAAAGAGAAAGCCACGGCUAACUACGGGCCAGCAGACGCGGUAAUAC